AAAAAGGAAAAAAAAUACCAGAGGAAGGCAAAAGAUUACCAAGAAAGUUGAUGAACAUAAUGCAAGAAAGAAAGAACAUAUCCAUUUUAAUAACUAGUUAGUAGGCAUUAAAAAGUAACAUUAAAAUGUCCAAUUAUGUGCAUGCUCAAUAUUUCAAGUGUUAUUUUUGUUGUUUUUGUGUCAAGUUUAGUUGGUACACUACUCUUUUUCAAUAAAGCUUGGUGGUAUAUUUUUGUCACCCUUGA